ensembl:lncRNA
CUUUUUUUUUUUUUUAUUUCUAAUAAAAUGAGCAGAAGAGAAGGAGGGGAGCGGCCGAGCCCCUGCGACGCGGCGGGCCAAGCUCGAGCGCGCGCUCCAGGCGGCGACCGGGCCGUGGGCUGAUCUCCCCGCUGGCUGCGUCUUUGUGCGGGUCCCGCGCAGCGGGCAGGUCCCAGGGGCCGGGGUGGCCGGAGUCCAGUUGCUCCUGUUAUUACCAGGGUCACAGUUUGCUUUUUCAGCCACUUAAAACCCGGAUUCAUAUCCCUGGGGGGACCGGAGUGGGUUCGAAAGAUUCGCUCGAAGACUCGAAAUUCUGAUGCGCAUUAACGUCUUCAGAAUAAGUCUUUGGCAAAAGAUUAUUUAGAAAAAGAAAAUUGGUUGGUAGAUUGCACUGCUAAUAUGGAAAAAAAAAAAUUAUAAAAAUAGGAAGCCUGAAAAGAAAGUCUCAUCAAGGAAAAAAGAAGGGACACAGACACAGAGGAGAUUUCGGAAAGCGAGGAAUGUACACAACUCUAUGCUAGUGAGUACAAGUGGAGCAUGCUCCUCUCUGAGUCACACGCAGCCAGCCAAUAGCACAGCAUGCUGUCCGAGGGCUCGAGGAUUCCUUUUGGCACAGAGUCUUAGCCACUGCACCACCAGGGAAGAAGUCUCACAUUUGGCCUUCCUGAUAGAGAAAAACCCGAAAGGAGCAGACCACAAGUCACAGAACGUUCGUGUUCUACUGAAUGAUAGAAAUUCCAUGAGAGUGACUGCAGAGCACACCCCAACAAAGACCUUCCAGCCAACCUGCCAAAGAGCCCACGGCCUUCAGACUGACAGCAAAUUCUUACUCUAAUCACUCAAAGAAACAGAAAGCCAAGAAAAAUGAAGACAGAUUUUCACUGUACACUGAAGCACCGUCUACUCCAUCUGACCUGGUAACGUGUGAUUAAUUUUCAUCCCAGCGUGAAAGAGAG